rnacentral:rRNA from 1 species
GAUAUUAGCGGCGGACGGGUGAGUAACACGUGGGUAACCUGCCUGUAAGAUUGGGAUAACUCCGGGAAACCGGAGCUAAUACCGGAUAACAUUUUGAACCGCAUGGUUCAAAAUUGAAAGAUGGUUUCGGCUAUCACUUACAGAUGGACCCGCGGCGCAUUAGCUAGUUGGUGAGGUAACGGCUCACCAAGGCAACGAUGCGUAGCCGACCUGAGAGGGUGAUCGGCCACACUGGGA